GGGGCAUCAAGUGGUGGCAACGAAACCUUUUUGCAACUAUCUAUUGAUUCUCUUGGCACAAAUUCAGUAUCUUCAAAUGGUGAAGAAGUGGAGGAGGAGUAGCGGAGAAGCGAGGAGGAGAGGCGGAGGAGCAGCGGAGAAGCGAAGAGGAGUCGCGGAGGAAUAGCGGAGAAGGGAGAAGUGAGAGAAAUACUUUGCAUUUUGAGACGUUUAUAUAUUUUGCAUUAUAUUUUUCUUU
rnacentral:misc_RNA from 1 species